rnacentral:lncRNA from 1 species
CUUUUAGGUUUCUGCUCUGUACAUGAUGACUUCUUCACUUUAUCAGUUUCCGUGUACUCAUAUUUCAAACCUUGAAGUUGAAUUCGCCCACUGCUGCUACGGUCAGUAUUUCGGAACACGAUCCUAUCAAAGAAACCAGAUUCAUUCCUAGGUUUCUCACUCCAAAUUUCACCGACAACAGUACUUGUGUUUCUGAUAGACAAGAUUGCCGAAAAUCUCAAGCUCAACCUUGUUGUGCAGUCUCCAACACGAGACUUCUCCAAGGAGCUUGAUGCAUCAAAGAUUCGGCAAGCAGCAAUACAGAGCCGAUUCUUCCUUGCAUCCCAAGAUCCUUCUCCAACUAAUGAAGUGCUGAAAUUGGAAGAGCGAUAAUACCCCAUACAGUAAUCGAUAGGAAAUUCUAUCAGAAACCUCAAGCUUAGCUUAUCCUCCGAGCACUGAAUCAUACUCAAAGACAUGACCUGUGGCAAAUAUCCAAUACCAUCACCAAAUGGAUUGCAACUCUUUGAAGAAUCACAACCACUUCCAUACUCCAGUUCAAAAGCAUUGGCUUGACCUAGAAACAUAUUACAAAUAGUUCGAGUCCGUGAUAAGCUGAGGGAUGACUUCUCUGGCACAUCAGUCCCCCCAGGACACCCUUGAGUUGAUAGUUUUGAAACUUUGGUGUACUGGUAACUUUUUUGAGGGAACAUCAGCAAGGAAAUUUGACCAAAGUAAUUUGGUUCAUCAGCAGCGUACAAGCUAUCCAUGGUUCCAGUGACUAAAGUGUUGAUAGUGCUUGACUUCUUAAGAUUGUUCAACUUGAGAACAGCUGCAAGAUGAAGCAGUUUACCUUCUUUGGAGUAAGUAUAGCUUGUUCCCACCAUGCAAAGCCUCCCGGUAGUUCUACACCAGAAGCCUUGAAAGUCGAAGUCCAGAGCUCCACGAUUGCUUGAAUCACUUGAAUAUGAAUAGAAUGAACCAGAAAAGCUCUCUUCAUAGUAAUAUGAGCUUUGGAAGAUCAGGUUUCCUUCUACCUUGAAGACAUCCUCAACAUGAGUUCUAUAUACAUGGUGAGCUUCGAAAGUUAGAACUUUCGAUCCAGAUUGAUAAUAAAGAGAUGAGCUUGAAUUCAGGACUUCAUCCCCUCCACUAUAGUAACCGUUUUGACGUUCAGGAAAUGGGGAGAUAUUGAACUCCUCAUAAACUGUUUUUGAUUCCUCAACAACUGAAUCACAGUAAUGACCAUAAUUAGAUUGAGAUGCAGUGGAAGAGACCAUAUUCAAAUAGAAGAAAGUGGAGAGGAAAAACAGCAAGGAAGCAUGAAAAAACUGUAGCUUUGUGGAACAAUCCAUAACUAUAGGCUUAAAUUUCUUCAGACAAGAAGAUUGGGAGGAAGAACUUAUAGCAAACUUGGAAAAGAGGUGAAAGAAUAUAUAGCUCUAUAUCGCUCACUGGAGCUGAGGUGAACUGGACCCAAGGCGGUGGUCGGUCAAACGUCGCAGGAAAUUUCCUAGUUCAAGAGCUUGGAAAAAAGAGCUACUUAAGACUUGACUAAAAAUGAGCAAAGGAUAAGUCUUUCAAAUAUGCUGGUUACAGUUCAGACAUGGACGAAGUCAAGCAAGAAGAAAAAUUGUUGUACUAAGUAAAGCAAAUUUUCUACUUUGCAACUGAUAGAACAUUAUGACAUGUUAUCCUUAAUCAACUAAGUAAAUAAUUGAUCAGAUCAGCACACAAAACCAACACAUUAUUCAAUUUAGUUCAAUUGAGACAAGCCUAAAAUAUAUGUGGGGUCCUGAUUGUUAAAAUCAUACAUUCAGCAGGAUAAAGUGGGAAUCCAGAAGACCACUCAAUUUUGGAACACGUAAUCCAAUUAAGUUGUUUGUUUUAGCUGAAAAGGUCUUUGGGACCAUACAUUAAUCUUCUUUACAGAGAUUAUUUAACUUCACUCUUCUUAGUCUUGGCUGGGACCGAUGAAGGCAAGGCAAUAUGCAUGCUACCUCGAUUGAAUUUAUUGACUUUGAAGACACUCUAAGGGAUCAAGAAGAACCAAAAACAAUAAGGACCAACAGCACCAUAUCUAUGGCUGAGGAAAGUCUUUAGUCUCCCCUUGUGCUGCUCCAUUAAUCAAUUAUUUUCCAUAUAGUUUGUGGAAAUUUAUCCCAAGUUUAAUUCGACAAUGAACUUGUUAUCGCCUCUAAGUCAAUGUCAAUGCACAAGGUUGCUAUCACAUUGUCUUGUAUUUGGGUCCAAGAAUGGUAGUGAAGAACACAGCAAAGCACUGAUAACGAGGGGAUGGUCCAAAAACUAAAAUUUUGCCCAGUCUUGGGUUUGAAGACUUUUCUUGGUUUACUUGGAAAAUUCUGCAGGUCCUACAGUUUGCUUGACGUGAAUUAGAGAUCAUGGAAAUUCCUGGUAACUGCCAAGACUUGGAGUGUAUCCCCUCACCAUUGAUUUUAAGAUAGCUAAACCAGUCGAACCAUGAUUUCUCUUCAUUCAGGGAAAUUAACAUUUUUUUCCUUCAUUCCCCAUAUGGAAAAAGGAAAGGAAAAGGUGAAAAUGCCUGAAGCUUUUAGUUAUCUUUUGGUAAUUCAAGAAAAUGCCUGAAGUUGCAAGUUGCAACUGCAUGAUUUGUUGAAAAACUUGGUGGGAGAAAUUUUUUGUGGCACUAAAACAUUUUUCAACUGAUUUCCAACCGAAAUAUUUCGUUGAAAAAUUUUCGUCAGAAAUCUAUCGAAAAAAAUAAUAAAAAAUUUUAAUAUAUAUCAGUUGAAAAUUUCCAAUAGAAAUUUCCAACGAAAAACCUAUUUUCUUGUUGUGAUUUGGCGAGGAAUUGUGAUGGAAUUAAAAUGUUUUAAUUGCAGUGAAGUAGGGCAUUAUGCAAGGGAGUGUGCGAACUUGAAAACUGUGGGUUAAAUGGGGAUUGAACAAAAAAAGGUAAUAGUAAAUAUUUUUGUUUCUUAAUGUUUUGGGCUUCUAAUAUUUCUUCUCUUCUUUUUGGAGAGAGAAAAUUUCUAAUCUUGAUACAUAAAUGAGCUGGUGCGGAUAAGAAUUUAGAUUUUUUUUAAUGUUCUGGUUAUUGUCGAUUGUUGUCAAUGACUUUGUUCUAACUCUCAAUUGAGCAGCUUCUAUUUUUCAAAAAUGAAGCAUAAAAAACAUAAAUCCAUGCAAGUAGAUAUUCAAAAGAGACAAAUACACGAGUGGUGCCUUUGCCUAAUAAUUAUUAUUUGUACUUAUACACAAGUGGUUUAAUGUGGGUUUGGGACAUAUUUGGUAUUUUUUAAAGCUUUUUCUUUGUACGAGGUUAUUUUAGAAUUUUCAAAAUAUUAGUAUGGCAAUUUGCGUCUUUUUCUCAAAUUGAGGAGAACUAAAUUUUUUAUUAGUUUUAAAUUGAUUCUAAUUUUUAAAUGACAAAAAUAAUAAUCAAAAUUGCCUUCGUAAGAAGCUGGCCAAGUUUCCACUCUUCCUCCAAUCAGAGUGCAGUUCACAACAGUGAAUCCAACAACAAGUGCAUCCUUAAACUUUCCAAGACUUACAACACUGAUGCCGUUCACAUUGUGCUCUUGUUUUAAAUUUAGUUUUUCAAUGACAAUAAUAAAUAAAAUAAAAUUAUUUAUAUGAAUGUAUAAAUCCCACAUUCAGUAAAUAUUAUUUACUUAUAAGUUUAUAAAAGCCCAUGGUACAAUGUUUAAUUGCCCUGCAAGUCGAGAAGCAUUGCUUGUGACCAUGCGGGGCUUGAAUCGCUUAAACACAAUGGAUUAUGUGACCCUUGACCCCAGCAUGUUGCUUGGCCCUGGGCCAGAAGGGCACUCUCAUCCUCCACAGAUGGGUAGCCAAAUAAAACAUGUUGAUUUCAAGCAAGCUACCUAUCUUCCCUGGUUAGCUCGUUAUUUUUUUUCUCUUAAUUAUGUAAAAAUUAUAUUCACCAAAAAAGAGCAUGCAGGACAGCCUCACUGGACACCUUCAUCAUCCAGCACAGCGAGAAUGUCUUUGGUAUGGAGGAGUAUUGUUCAACUUCCUUCUAUUGAAGGGAUGCAAAAUCUGGUUGGUUUUCAUGCCUGUCGUUGGAUUGUAGGUAACAGGGAGACUAUUUUCUUCUGAUUUGACAAGUGGAUUGCCGACAUUCCUCUUGCAUCUAAAUUCCCUAGACUCUUCUCUUUGGUUGUUGACAAAGACAUGAGAGUCCUUGACGCUUGUCAGAAUGGAUACGCUUGUCAGAAUGGAUUAUGUUCAAUCAAUUUUAGGUGCGAGUUGUAUAGCUGGGAGAAAGAGGACUUAGACCGGAUUUUAAACUCUCUUUCCUCUAUUUCACUUGUGCCAUUGAGAGAUGAUGAGCUGGUCUGGACGCAUGAUUCUAAAGGCUUUUUUUCAGUCAAAACUCUUUGCUCGCUAUUGGAUUCCACAGGUGACUCCAACAUGGUGUGGUUUCACUCCAUUUGGAAAUUGGCUGUUCCCCCAAAGAUCCAAUGCUUCCGACGAUUGGCGAUCCUCAACUCUAUCCCUACGAAAGUCUUCCUCUCUUCACGUGGAGUCCAUUUCUCCCCCGACCAGCUUCGUUGUGUGUGGUGUGGCCAAGUUGAGGAGUGUUGUUCUCACAUCCUUCUCACCUACCCGUUCAGUUGGAGAGUUUGGGGAUAUGUUCUUAAAUGGUGGGGAAUCUCUUGGUGUUCUCCGUGUUCUUUAUCCUCUUUUAUGCUAGCUUGGGAUGGCUGCCCUUUGGGGGAAUUAUCUAUAAGAGAUGGUUGAUUGUUUGUGCUACUUCAUUAUGGUCUCUUUGGUUAGUGCAAAAUGAGACAGUCUUUAACUCUAAGGUAUGGGAUGGCCUCCAAAUUUUUUUCCUCAUCAAAUUAUGUUCAAUGUUCUAGAUACGAGCUUCUGAAGGUGUCGAUGCCAUUGAUGAUAUGGGAUGGUGGACUGACCCACGUCUAUCUUCAAGGAGGAAAGCACCACAUCACCACCACGUGGGCACUUCAUGGUCUCCACCCCCCACUGGUGAAUUCAAAUUUAAUGUCGACAGCUCAGCUAAAGGCAAACCAGGACUUGCUGCUAGCGGCGGCGUCCUUCGAGAUUCUAAUGGACAUGUUGUUGGCCUUUUCUUUUGCCCUAUUGGCUUUCAUGACUCCAACUUUGCAGAGCUUAUGGCCAUUCUUAAGGCUCUUAAACUCUUUGCUGCUACUCCUUAUACAUUGCAACGACCUCUCCCCGGUCGCUGCUGGUGUCCAAGACUUCUGAAAAAGACUCGCCAAGUCUUGAACAAGCCUGUCUAAAAUUUGCUCGUUAAUCCACUACAUUCAAUCACCAUGUAAUAUUGAUACUUUCAUAUACUAAAUUGAACCAUAAAUAUAAAAUUCAAUACAAACUUUUUUCCUUUUAUUCGUAAGUAUAUGCAUUAAAAUCUAUUAUCUCCAAAUUAAUGCUUAUAUAAAAAUUUAGAAUUCGUUUACAACUUAAUAAAUAAAAUGCUACAACUUGACCUAUAACAGCGGAGUGACUCGGAAUAAAAUGCUAAGAGAUACCUUUACCUAUUCCCGGUGGACCGAACGCGUCACUAACUAUACGCUAGGCUGAUCCCUAUCUGCAAAAGGGGAAAUAAAGGGGUGUGAGUCUCAUAGACUCAGUGAUAAUCAUCGACUCAGUGAGUAGGGUGUAGAUGAGAAACAAGCAAACGGCACAUCAGUUGAAUAUAAAAAUGCAAGAUUAUAAAAAUAAUUCGUUUCAAACGAGGGUUUGUGCCUUAUAUAAAAAUCGAGAAUUUCUUAUAAAGUAUAAAUAAUCGAAGUAAUAAAAUUUUUCGCAUCAAAAUAUAUUAAUAAUCAUUUUUGAAUCAAAUCAAUAAAAUUUAGCAAGCUCCCGCGAAACCAAAUAAUAUUUAAAAUCAUGCCCAAAUCAUAACUCGCCCCGUAUGCGAGGAAUUUUAGAUUUAUUUCACAGAUAAACAAAUACGGAAGUUGCGAAAAAUCGUUUAAUUCCAUUUUCACCAUGCAGAGAAAUAGAAUUCAUAAUAUUAAAACUUAUUUCAACUCAUAUAAAAUCAUUACAUUUUUGUCAAAAAUAAACAACAUGGCUUAUGACUUCCUUAAAACUUUGGCUCGUGCCAAAAUCAUUCUCAUACUUGAUUGUCAGGGAUACCUUGGCCUGGGGCUAUCCCAACCGAGUUCGCCAAGGCUUUUAAAAAGUUAUGUAAGCAUAAAUCAUGUUUUUAUUUUAAAAACAUAGCCGUUCAUUGGCGUUGGCUGAGUUCACCCUCACGUGGUGGUUUGGAGUGAAGUGAACUCUAAAGUUUUACCUCGGGAGUUACCCUACGCGUAUCUCCGACCGAGGUACAUAUAUAACCAGAUUUUAUACCCCUCUAAUAGGCUGGUCCACAGAAUCCGCCCACUGCAGCAAGCUAAACCCACCAUACAAUAAAAUUCAACAGCAUGAUGUGGCAAUUAUUUUACAACACAGCAUGUCAAAGCAAAACAGCAGUUUAUACAUUUUCAACACAUUUACCAAUCCAGCCAAUCAUGCCCACAUUAUCAUAAGCCAUUCGAUUCAAAAUACAAUUUAUAACACAACAAAUAGCAGUCUCCAAUUACUCUUAAAUUUCUUGAUUAAAAUGAAAUUACCUUUUAAAAGAAUUCAAAUUUGCUCUUCAAGGGGAUAUUUUAAAUCUUUCUCAAAAUAUUGGUCCCCACAUCACGUUAAAACUCUCUUUUCGUAAAAUGUUCAUUGUAAAUAUUUGCAUGAUAUUUUGUAUCAAAAUAGCAUGGUGAAUAUGUAAUAAAUUUCAUGAAUGCACACCACACAAACAAUAAGGCACAAUUUCCUUUGAUGUAAAUCUUUUCAAAAAGCUUGUUUCCCGGUUUAAAACACUUUACGUCUAAUAUAUAUAUAUUUCAAAUGAUUUCUAAAAAUAACUUACACCCACAAUUCCUUAAAAUUCUAUCAACGCAUGCUUUCCAUAAAUUUUGCACUUCACGUAAAAUAUACGUACAUGUAUAUAUAUACGAAAGUUUUAAAAUUGACAUCCCCUACUCACCUCAUAAUAGUGGGAUAUUACUUCACUAUUAAUUCGUACGCGUAUAUAAUUAUUCCUAUUUGUCGGUCACAUACUUCGUUCGGUACGCCUCCACGACAAACUUUCCUAGCAACAAUUUAAACUCAGUAUACUUAAUCACACAUUUGUAUGGGUAGCAACUUAAUUAAAAAUUCCUUAAGCAAGUUGCAUAUUUUUCAUCUAAAAAAUGCACAAUAUUAAACUACCCAUAAACCUUAAAAUAUAACAUUAACUUACCAUUGGGUCUUUUUCAUUUUUUUAUGACCUUCGGGUCCUCUCCAUGGGCUUCUUCAUUUUUCCUAUUUGGGCCAAGCCCAUUUAUUUUUAUUUCUUAUUGGGCCAUGCCCACUUAUUUUCUAUUGGAUCAUGCCCACUUAUUUUCUAUUUCUUUUCUUUUCUCUUUCUUUCUUUUUCUCUCUUCCACCGUCACUCCCUUCACCACCAUGUCUUCCUCUCUUCACCACCGUGGCUUCCUCUCUUCCUUUCCUCUCAAAACCGGUCACCAAAAGCCUCAUUUUCUCACCCUUUUUGCUACCAUUUUCUGCUCUAAAAUCAGCAGAUUUCCAGCUCAAUUUCCAGCAACAAAACUUCUCAAUUUUGGCAGCACAAAGCUGUCCAAUUUUCCUGCACAAACUACCAGCAAACAGCUCCAAUUUUUCUGCACAAAAGGGCAACAAACAGCUCCAAUUUUUCUGCACAAAUUGGCAGCAAACAGCUCAAAUUUUUCUGCACAAAGUUGUCCUUCAAUGGCAGUAAAAACCUCCAAAAAGUUCCAGCAACAAAUUCACACAAUUUCAGCAGCAACAACCUUGAAUUUUCAGCAUCAAAAUCAGCCAUAAAAACCUCAAAAAUUCCUGCAAUUAACCUCAAAAAAAUUCAGCUUUCUCACCUCAAAAUUUUCAGCUUUUUCUUCCUCCAAAAAUUGCAGCAAAAAACUCUCUUUUCCUCCCUCAAAGUGCAGCAAAACCGUGCCAAGAAAAGAGCAGAAUUUUUCACUCCUUCUCUCUCCCUCUCCCAUGGUUUUUCUUUCUUUUUUCCUUUCCUUUCUUUUGCUUGGCUUUUGUUUCUUUCUUUCCUCUUCAUAACCGACUUCUCUUCAUUUCUUUUCUUCUUUCAUCUCACAUGGCCAGCCCCACCAUCAUUUUUACACUCUUUUCUUUUGUUUUCUUUUUUUUUUGUCUUUCUUCCAUUCUUUUGUAUGGCCGGCCAUUCACCUCACUUGGUUCCAAAUUUAGUAUUAUUCCAAAUGACUUUAACUUUUCUUCAUUCCCAUCCAAACCACGUCAUUCCCAUUCUUGACUCAUGUGGUCACUCAUGCACAUAUAAAAAUAUUGUUUGACUUUUCAACAUCUUUUCUUCAUUAUUUUAUCAUCCAUUUUAUUUUCUUUUUAUUUUUAUUUCUUCAAAACAAUAAAAUUUACAUAUUAUGCCUUAACUUCAUUUUAUUUGGUACUCAAUCUUUCAAUUUACGUAUCUUAAAAUUUGAUCAUUCCGACACGUUUAAAAAUUUUAAUUUCCUUCUAUCUUUCUUUUCUUACACGUGUAUAAUCAAAAUAUCGAGAUCGCAUUUCAACGCGGUGUCACCAUAAUAUUUAAAUAUUUACUUACCCGUGUUAGCUCGAUUUAAUAAAAUCACACUGACACAAUUAUCGUCGUUUUCCUUCAAAAUUCUUCUUUACUUCUUCUACGCCACUUAAAUUAGUCAUAGUCCAUUUUUCAUGACUAAUUCCGACAACAUAUAAAAUACUAAUAUUUUAAUAUUAUUUUAUUAAAUAAAAUAUUAUUUUAUUUCAAAAUUUUUCACUUGCCUUCUUUGGUCCCGAAACACAUCUUUACAUCUCGGUUUACUUCUGAAUCAUCAUUUAGCUUACUAAUUCCUCUCCAAUGAAAAUAUUAUUAUUUAAUUGUUGUUUUUACACGCGCGAAACAUUUUAUUCUUGAACGCUCAUUUCAUCCUUUGUCGCUCUUUAGCACGUCAAUUCACAUCAAACGAUCAUUUGUUUGAUCAAUAAGGUCUUAUUUGUGUCCAACGAGGGUGCGGGGUAUUACAUACAUCAUCUCCCUUAAUCAUUGAAUCUGAUUCACGCGUUGCUCUCUCGUGGGUUAACUCAGUUGAAAAAAGACCAUGGGACAAAUGGAGUAUUUUUAACGAGUUAGACUCUCUCCGCGUUAUGCUAGGUACAGUUUUUUUUAAGCAUAUCUUCAGAGAAGGAAAUGGUUUUGCUGAUUCCUUGGCAAAGUAUGGUGUCAAUAAUAACACAUCAUUUUCUGCUUGGUGGUGACCUCAAUGGUCUCUUUGAUUCUAACCUCUUUUGUUGUUCUUACUCUCUGAUAUUUGGAUCACCACAUCUUGUUUUUCUCACCAACGUUUGGCUGCUCUUUGCUAUUCUGUUUUUUUUAGUUCAUUUCAUAGGCAAGGCUCUCCUCAGGUUUUUCUUUUGCCUUUGAUCUUUUGUAACAAUGAGUACCUCUCAUCUGCUACCUGCAAUUGCUGUUCUUAUGGCUGACAUGCCUUCUUUUGCACUUACUAAUUAAUCUUAAUGAAUAGCUUAGCAAAAAAAAAACUAAAAAGAGCACGUAUGCAAAUGAAUUAUAAUGGCUCAAAUAAUUAAAAAAAAAGUCUUGAAAUAUAAAUGCAUUUUUGUAAUUAGGUUCUUACAUUUUUAUUGCACACAAUUAAGUUCUUUUUAAUUUAAUUGUGCCCAAUUGAACCAUAUUCUUUUAUUUUACCUAAUUGAGUGUCUAGUUCAGAAGUGUAAUGUUUUGUUUUUCUCUUGAUUAUGUAAAAAUUAUAUUCACCAAGAAAGAGCAUGUAUGGAAAUGAAUUAUAAAGGCUAAAAUAAUAAAAAAAGUCCUGAAAUAUACAUGCAUUUUUGUAAUUAGGUUCUUACAUAUUUAUUGCACCUAAUUAAGUUCUUUUUAAUUUAUUUGUGCCCAAUUGAAUGAUACUCUUUUAUUUUACCUAAUUGAGUGUAUAUAUGAACUCUAACGUGCUGUGCUGAUUAGAAACGAUAAGUACUAUUGAAGUGGAAUUUCUUAAGAUUUAAAUUGUCGCUCAAACCACAACGAAAGCUGAUGAUGUGGCGUACCACAUCAGUAAUACUUGUUAUGCUUAGUCAGCACGUCAGAUUAGAUUUCACUCAUUCAAGAAUUGAUAUUGAUAGUUUUCCUUCAGAAUAUAUUUGUUAUAUUUUGAUUACGAGUUUAAUUGGGCACAAAUAAAAAAAUUUAAUUAACUAUGAUAAAAAUGUAAGAACUCAAUGCAAAAUUACAUACAAUUGAAUAGUUUUUUUAAUUAUUAAAGUUUUAUGCUGCCAGCUGUUAAAGAAAAAAAAAAGGAGAUAAAGUAGAAUAAGCUAAGGGUAGAUAUUAAAAUCUGUUGGCCUUCCUCAUUUUAGCACAUGUAAGCUUAAAGAGUGGUCACGGUAGGCUUCAAUUAGGUGACUCUUAAUAGUAGGCUUCAAUCAACUUUUUUGGAAUAAAUACUAAUAUUUUAAUAUGUAAAUAAACAUUAUCACAUUAAUUCUACUAAAUUAUUUUCGACAAUUACCUUAUAAAUAAAUUUAAAAAAAAAAAGCGGGCUAAAGUCUAGUUUUAUUAAUGUAAAUACAAACCAGGUCUAGGAUUGCUAUUCAAGGAGCCAAGGUUGACCCUCUUAUCUUCUCGUAGGCAACUUGUUGGGAUGAACCAGGUCUCUGGAGUUUUACUAAGGGUCUUAUAGUCUAAUCAAUUUUAGAGAACAACUUUUAGUGGGAUUUUCCUCUUGAUGGCAAUUAUUACACCCACUAACAUGGUUGAUUUUGGAUUAAGAUGACUGAAUUCAUGAACUCUUUGCAAUUUGCCAAGGCCUGCAUUUAAUGUUUCCGGUAUAAAGCAAGCUCAAAUGUCCAUACUCCCUUCCUCAACUCCACAUUACACUGUUAUCUUCUCGUCAUGCUUGUUCCCAGCCCCGCUUUGAAUUGCAGUUGGCUUUCCCCAUCCAAAAUCAAAACUAUAAUAAUCAAACCAAGGCGAACCACCUAAGAUCAGAAGAUUGCUUACAGUACUUGCUAGGCUUGCUGUCAAUAGAAGAGGGCUUUCCCUCCAUGAUUCCAAGAAAGUCACCAUCUUUUUCUUCAGACUGACGAAAUAGACUUGUUUGUUUCCCAUGCUGCGUUUCUGAGCCCUUUUUCUAGUAGGUCCUUUACUUUCAUUGUUAUAACUCCACCUAGAAUCGCAUUUCCAAUAUAUUGUUGAGACAGCUGAUGCAAUCUUGAUUUUGCACUAACUGGUAGGAACAAAUUGGUCUCUUCCACGGGAUCAAGAUUUUUGCAGCGGAUAACAGUUCGCCAAAUAUGAGAUAAGAGUGCCUGGAGAGAGGAGAUUUUGUCUGUGCCAACUUCAGCAUUAGCUUUUGUCUUAAGAUUUGCAAUGCUUUCCUUUGUGAAAUGAAAAAACCUUACUUGUAAACAUGGAGGAAUGAAGUCAUGGAAACCAAACAGACCCGCAAAACCAUUUGGAAACCAACGUUGAAACCUCGGGCCUUGGUUCAUUCAAUGGAACCUCAAAAAAUUUCAGCCCAAGAAUUAGAAAAAUGCACAAACGAUGUGCCAUCAACCACAACAUGAUAGUAAGUUCAGCUAAUGAAGAUGCCAUCUACAAGCUCAGUGACUUGUACUGCGAGUAAUGGCUUGGAACUGUCCUCAUAAUUUUUAAAUGAUAUCAGAAAUCAGUAGCGGAACCAGGAUUUCACAUUUGGGGUAAAGAGUCGAAGACAAUAUAAAGCAUUAGAUGGAAAAAAUUCAUGUAAAAAUUAUACAAAUAAAUUCUGAAAAUUCAAAAAAUCAAUCUUAAUAAUUUACUGAAAAGAAUUAAUUAGUAUAAUCAUAAAUAAUUUAAUAAUAAAAAUAAUCAUAAUUUCUAGAUAAACUUAACAACAAACAAAAAUUAACAAAUAUAAUAACAAAAAUCUCAAUCGAAAGCAAUUCCCUAAAAAAUAUUAAGGUCUAUUGAUAAAUAAUUCAAUGGGAAGCAAUUCCCUAAAAUUAAUCACAAAAAUUAAAUACAAUAUUAACAAACAAUUCAAUGAGAAAGCAAUUCCAAAUAAAAAACUUAAUUGUUCACGAGAAUCUAAGCCAAAAAAAACACAAAUAAUUUAUAAUAAAGCAAUCAAACAAUUCUUAAUAAAUAGGUAAUAACUAACCUUAAGUGCUUAAUCAAAUCCUUGUUUUGUUGUUUUCAACAAAAAAUGGCUAAGAUGGUAAUUCUUAAAUCAAAAUUACUAAGCAGAAAUUAUUAAAUAAAGAAAAAUUUUAAAGUUGAAAAUAUUAAAAAUAAAAUAAGUAAAUAAACCAAACUUACCAAUUAUUAUGAUAUAAAAAUUGAGCUACUAGCUAGAGGUUUUCUGCACAGAGAAUGCUAACAAGUAAAAAAGUGUAAAAUUUUUUUUUUGUUUAUACACUAUAUGGUAAAAAGAGAAGAGAUUAAGAGGAGGUGGUUAUGAGGUUUUGGAGAAAUAGGGUUUGGGAAUAAUUUUAUUGUAAUAGGUUUUGUUUUAGUCUUAUUAAAAUUAGUUGUGGACUAAUUGGUGUAGGGCAUCUCACUAAAUAAAAAAUUAUUGUAGGGAUAAAAUUAUAAAAUUUUAAAAAAACUAAAGUAUGCUAGAAAAAUUUUAAAAUUUUUGUAGGGAUGAAAUUAUUAAGUUUUUAAAAAAAAGAUAAAUUAUAAAAAUUUUGAAAUUGUUGAACGGGCGGGGGCCACUAACCCUCCUCCCCUCCGCCUCUGUCAAAAAUAGUUAUCCUAUUAGCUGCAGCAUGAACAAACAGGACACCAGCAUUGCUGCAGUCAAUGAAAAAGGAAGAGGUGUUAUACUCGAGUUCAAUGGUUGCAAAGGGACCUGCAAGGGGAGAAAAGUAAUCGAGCGUUUGUGAAAGGGAGGUUUUUAAUUGGUGGACUAUGGUCUGUCCUAACUCUUCCUCUUUUUCGAAUUUUGGCUUGUAUUAGAGAAGUCCCUUUGGCACAUAGUCCAUAGGAAGGAACAUGAGAUCCUAGGAAGGUAACUCGAUCCUAGAUAUGAACAAUCCCACAUGAUCUAAAUUCUUGUUCCUAGAGAUGAAAAGAAUAUAUCUCCCAUAUCUCUAUAUGUUGACAAGUUCUAUCCAACAACCAUCAAUGGCCUUAUCCUAGAGCAGACAAUCUCUCCACUUAACUAAUAGAGGCUAUAAAGAGAGAGGAGGCUGGCCUUCGAAUAUUUCUUGAUGGUGGCAAACAGAAAGGAAAAACAAAACAAAAAAAAAUGAAAAUGAUUCUUAAUUGGUUGUUAAUGGAGUUUAAUCACCCAAUUCUAAGGGCAUUAUCCCACCAAUACCUUUGCUCCAAGGACAAAUAAUUUUAACUAAAAUUUUUAUGUUUUGAAAUAAAUAAAAUUAGUUUAAAUAUACUGGCUCCUUGGCUGUUUUUGUGCCUUCACUUUAAUCCUAUAAUAAUUAUGUUAGGCAAAUGCCCAAAAGUACAUUCGUUUUACACUAAUUAAUAAGCAAAUUUAAUUAUGUUAGGCAAAAGCCGAAGAGUACAUUCGUUGUACACUAAUUAAUAAGAAAUUUUAAUUAAAUCAAAGAGAAUAUAUGUUCUCGAUGGGAAAUUUUUAAGCAAAUUUAAUUAAAUUGAAGAGAAUAUACGUUCUAGCGGAGAGCCGCUCUUAACAGAGAGUCAUGAAUUCCACAUCAAGUGAAGAUGUUAUAGGUCCUAAUAGGGAGUUAUGAAUCCCACAUCAAUGAGGAUGUCAUAGGUCCAGUGAAGAGCCCUAAAUCUCGUCAUAGUAGCCUAUGGUUUUAAUCCACGAAAGAAACCUCACAAGUUGAAGGUGGUUCAAAUGCCCAGUACACUCCCCACCUACUAGAAGCAUAUCUAUACGAUGUGGAAUUCAAAUGACUCCUCGCUAGGGACCGUGACAUCCUUCCCCCUCUUCAACAAGGGUUCACUGUCCUCAAACGCAUAUCACUACCCGAGUUCACUCUAAUACCAACUAUCACGGCUUACACCAAACCCUAUGUGGUAUUAGCCACUUUAGUUCACUGGCCUUAAGAUUUUGUCUCACAAAAAUCACCUCACAAGUUGAAUGUGGUGUGAAUUCUUAAUUGCCUAGUAUCACUCCAGUACACAUUCGAUGUAAAAUCUCUUACUCGCCUCUAGAACCAUAACAUCUUCUCUUGACUGCCCGUUGGGAGCUUCUCCUCAAUGUGGGACUUAAAGCUCUACCCAUUGAGAGCAUAUCUCUAUGAUAUGGGAUUCACAUGGCUCCUCGCUUGGAACCAUAACCUUGGACAUUUAAGAGUUGACACCAUCUUCCUUGAUAUAUACUAAAAAAAUUUUGAAAUUAACCUUAAUCAAAUCUAUUUUUGAAAAUAAUUAAAUUCAACUAAAAAAUAAAUACAGCCCAUUAUCUCUAAACUAAAAUUAAAUUUAAAAGUUGAAUACUGGCCUACACCAAGGCUAGUGAAUUAGAUACAAUUUUCAUUGCCUCAAUAGUUAGGCAACGUGAAAAUGGAUGAGUUCCCAUUUCUUUUUUGUUCUUUCCAUAAAAAAAGAGAUACAAUUUAAAUUUCUAUUCUAGAAUUUCCUCGGUAUCUGUACAAGCAUGAUCUGCAUAAAAUUCUAUGCUGCAGUAAUACACCUUCCAGUGAAGAAAUCAGAACACAUUCAGUCAGCUAUCCCAAUAUAUUAUUCACUUAUAUAUGAUCAUUUGGAUUUAAAUUGAUUUGAGGCUUCUAUAUUAGGCAGUGAUGGCACAGGGAGGUGGAAUUUGUUUCCAAGAAAUUCUAGGCUUAAAAUUAUGAUAAAAGACUAAUAUAUUCAAAUUCAAGAUACUCAAGUACAACAUAGGACUCAUUUUAAUUAGUCUGUCAUUUUAAUUUGACAAUUUGAAGGAUAUAAUAUCUCCAAAGUGCAUAUCAAAGUUAGUGCCUUCAAAAGAAUCGGCCCAUCCAUCAGGGCUGCCACCCAAGCUAGGGCUUUAGACCUCAAUUUUGGAGAGGUCCCACAAUGCUAUAAUAAUAAUAUAAUUAAUUAUAUUAGAAAUGCAUAAAAAUUAAGAUAGUUAAUAAAAUAUUUACCUAUUUUCUCAUCCCUAAUAAAUAAUUAUUUUCUCUCACUUCCACAUUUCUAUUAAUUCUCAAUUAAUCAUCUCAUUUUUCAUUAAAAAUAUAUAAAAAUAAAAAAUAAUUAAUAAAAUAACAUAUUCUCUCACUUCCCUAAUUAUGUGCGUGAUGAAUUUCAAUUUUUAUCACUGCCCAAUUCUUAUAAUACUAUUAAUUUUUUACUAUUUAUCCUAUUUCCAAUCAACAAACAGUAAUAUUUAUUUAAUAAUCUUUCUCACCUAUUUUUCGUAUUGUCAUUUAACUUACGGUAAUAUGUAUUUAAUGAUUUUCAACAGCUAUUUUUUCCUAUAUAUAAACUAAUUAUCUUUUUUUUUCAAUUUAUAAUAUCCAAAUUCAAAUUUUUCUUCCCACAUUUGCUCCUUUUUCUUUUAACUUCAAUUUUUCUCUAAAGAAUACACAAGAAGCCAAAGCAGACAAUGUCUCACAAGGAUCAGUGUAAACUAAGGAUAGUGGGCACUUGUUGAAGUGAAGGAGGAUGUUCCCUUAGUGUCAUGGUCCUCACGUGGACGUGAAUUCCACAUUGUCGACAUAAUGCUACCAACAGGUAGAGCCAUAAAGUUCCCACAUUAACGAGAAACUCCCAACGGGAAGUAAGGGAGGAUGCCAUGGUCUUAAAGAGGAGAGCCAUGAAUUCUACAUAGACUAUGUACUAAAGUGAUAAUAGUCAUAUAAAGGGUUCACACCACCCUUUUGUGGGACAAAACAGUAAGACCAGCAGGCCGAAGCGGACAACACCUCACAGAGGUUAGUGUGAACAGUGACAGUUGGUAUCAAAGCGAACACUAGGUACUAGUGAUGUGUCACUAAGGGCACUAGGCCCUUGUUGAAUUAGGGAGGAUGUCACGGUCCUCGUGUAGAUAUGAAUCCCGCAUCGUCGAGAUAAUGCUACUAGGGAGUAAAGCCACAACGUCCCCACAUUGAAUAAAAACUCCCAACGAGGAAUAAGGGAAGAUACCAUGGUUCUAGAGAGAAGAACCAUGAAUCUCACAUCGGUUAUGUACUAAAGUGAUAUUAAGCAUAUAAGGUUCACACCACCUUCAACCUACGAGGCAGCUUUUGUGGGACAAAACCGUGAGCCCAAUGGGCCAAAGCGAACAACACCUCACAAGGGUUGGUAUGAAUGCAUGGAUGUGAAUCCCACAUUGUCAAGAUGAUGCUCCAAGCGGGUAAGGCCACAAAGUCCCACAUCAAAGAAAAACUCUCAACGAGAAGUAAGACAGGAUGUCAUAGUCUUAGAGAGGGAAGCACUAAAUCUCACAUCGUCUAUGUACUAGAGUGAUACUAAGAAUAUAAGGGUUGAUACCACCUUCAAGCACCUUUUGUGGGAUAAAACCAUGAAGCCAAAGGGCCAAAGCGUACAAUACCUCAUAAUGGUGUGGAUUGUAACAUUUAAUAUCAAAGCGGACUCUAAGUACUAGCGAUGUGCCACUGAGGACAAUGGGCCUUUGUUGAAGUGGGGGAGGAUGUCACGGUCCUCGCGUGGACAUGAAUCCCACAUCGUCAAGGGGAGUAAGGGAGGAUGUCAUGGUCCUAGAAAUGGGAGCCAUGAAUCCCACAUCAGCUAUGUACUAGAUUGAUAUUGGGAAUAUAAGGGUUCACACCACCUUCAACCUAUGAGACACCUUUUGUGGGACAAAACUGUGAAGCCAGCGAGCCAAAGCGGACAAUAUCUCAGAGUUGGUGUGUGGACUGUGACACCUAGUGUGGACCAUGUGCAUCUUACAUCAUAGAAGAUAGUUAGUGUGAUAAUGGGCAUAUGUGGACCUUGACAUCUAAAGUUGGGAAAGGAAGCCCUAGUAGGGCUCCACAUGGGACUGGGUCAUGUCUGGUAUUUCUUCUAGUUUCUUUAUUGCAAGAGGUUACUUCAAGAUUUUAAAAAAUUUAACAAGAUAUUUACGUCCUUUCCUCAUACUAUGAAGUAAUAAAUAUUUUUUUUAGCUUUAAAUUGAUUCUAAUUUCCAAAUGACAAAAAUAAUGAUCAAAAUUGCCUUCCGAAGAAGCGGCCCAAGUUUCCACCCUUCCUCCAAAAGCUGGCCAAGUUUCCACCCUUACUCCAAUCAGAGUGCAGUUCGCAACAGUGAAUCCAACAACAAGUUUAUCCUCCAACUUUCCAAGACUUCCAACACUGAUGCCAUUGACAUCGUACUGUUGAUCUAAAUUAGUUUUCUAAUGAAAAAAAUAAAGAAAAUGAAAUUAUUUAUACGAAUGUAUAAACCUCACAUUCAAUAAAUAAUUAUUUACUUACAAGAUUAUAGAUCAUUGCCCUCCAAGACGAGAAGCAUUAAUACUUGUGACCAAACGGUGCAUGAAUGGCUUAAGCACAUUAGAUUAUGUGACCCUGGACCCAGAAGAGCACUCCCUUCCUCCACAGAUGAAUAGCAAAUAAAAUUUCAAGAUUUCGUUGAUGCUGCCUCUACAAGCUAAGCUGGGGUGGGUCUAUCCUAUCCUCCAUGGAUAGGUAGCAAUUUUUUUUUUCUCAGGAUAUGUUAUUCAAUUACAACUAAUCUUAAUUUUAUUCUCUUUUCUUUAUAUAUCCGAAAAAACAAUUGAUCUCAAAUGGCUUGACAAACGCACACUAUACUGCGGCAAUGAAGAAAGGAAAAUUGAAAAUUUUUUCUUUUAUAUUUUUUACGCAUAUUUUUUACUCCUUUACUAGUCUUUCGGUAGGGGGAUAUAAAAUUUUACUUCAAAAAUGUUGUGAAAGAAUAAAAUAAAGUUAUGUGCGCACUCGAUGAGUUCCAAACAUCUCUAUUCCCAUUUCUUAAAAGGAAAGAAAAUAUACAAUUUUACUUUAAAAAUGUUGUGAAAGAAUAAAAUAGAGUUAUGUGCGCACUCGAUGAGUUCCAAACAUCUCUAUUCCCAUUUCUUAAAAGGAAAGAAAAUAUACAAUUUUACUUUAAAAAUGUUGUGAAAGAAUAAAAUAGAGUUAUGUGCGCACUCAAUGAGUUCCAAACAUCUCUAUUCCCAUUUCUUAAAAGGAAAAAGAAAAUUCAGUCACGUCCAUGUAUGAAUAUUCUUUUAAUCUGGAUAGGAUAAUAGACAAAGAAAAUUAAAAUGAUUUUAGAUUGUGAAUUUGAGAAACUAAGACUCAUUUGCUGUUGCAAACAAGAUGCAGCUAACAAGGUUUAUGUGAAACUUGAAAGUAUUUCUUUCUGAACAUUCCAAUCUUGGAAUGUGUCCUGGGGCGAGGGUUUAUCUGCCAAAGAUAGAGAGAGUCUCAGAAUACUUAUAUUGUUUAUAUUACAUAGGCACAGACAACUUACAUAAGUACACAGUAAUUUACAGACUUAUUUCAGAACAGAAGUAGAGAUAGAUACAUCUCCAUGUUGAACAGAAGGAGUAAAACCAGCAGGCACUAGUUGCCGGAUUUUAGUGGAAAUUGAUCUUCUGAAGGCAUUGGCAGCUCCUCAUAUAUUACUGAUUCUUGAAAUCUCUUUGGAAGGAAACAUCGACCACCAAAUCGCUGUUGCAAGUAUCUGAUUGCAGUAAAGAACAGGCCCAACAUAGGAAUAAUGAAGUCCUAAGCAGUUGAGCAGUAAUCUGCAGCAGGAUCUGCAUAGAUGUAUAAGUCAUCAACUCCAAGAAAAUUGCGAACCCUGUCAAGAUCAUAUCCAUGAGGUACCGGGCAAACAAGGGUAAUGCUGAUGUAGAAGAAACGAGAAAGAGCCUCUUCUCUUGAAUUCUGGAGCAUGCUCAACAGGCAUGAACGGCCCAAUAAUCUUAAACGCCUAAAGCCAAAUAUUCAAAUGACACCUUUUUUAUUGAAAUUAAAAAAAAAUAUUAAAUUUUUCUUUUUCAAUUGAUAAUAAAGCCCAUCUAUUUAUUCUUUCUUGAUAUAUCCUUGAUUUUAAAUAAGAUUUUAUUAAUUUUAGUUUUAAAAAACUUCUUUCUCAUUAAGCAACACAUACUAAAAUUAUUAAUAUAUGUGUUUAGAAAAGAAUCAAAUCUACUCAUAUAAUUAAGUAUGUCGAUUGGACUAUUAUUUUUCAUUUGUAUAAUUUCUUUUAAAAUUUUUUACUUUGAAAAUAAAUUUAAACUAUUAAUAUCAUAAUAGUUAUUAUAUUUUAAGUAACAUUCAAGAUUAAGGUAAUAUCCUCAAGUUCAAUGCUUGCAAGGCGGCCUACAAGGGAUGGUUUUCAGUUGGUGGACUAUGGUCUCUCCGAACUCUUCCUCUUUUUCCAGUUUUGGCUUUUAAUAGAGAAGUCCCUUUGGCGCAUAGUCCAUAGCAAGGAACAUGAGAUCCCAGGGAGCUAACUCGAUCCUUUGAACUUCCUUCUUGGGGUUGGCAGCUUGAACAAUGCUAGCACAGAUGAAUCGAAUAUCCCCCAUGUCUCUAUAUCUUGUUAAUGGUUCGCAUAAUGCUCAGAAAUUGAAACGUAUCUUGUUUAUAACCUAACUCAACCAUAAGAAUAAUAAUGUAUCCAUUUAAUUGAUGAUAAGUUCUAUGCAAGAACCAUGAAUGGCCAUAUCCUUGAGCAGACAAUCUUAACAAAUAGAGGCUAUAAAGAGAGGAGGCUGGCCCUCGGAAUAUGUCUUGAUGUUGGCAAACAGAAAUAAAAGAAAAUGCUUAAAGGCAUUACCCAAUUGUUAAUGGAGUUUAAUUACCCAAUUCUAAAGGCAUUAUCCGACCAAUUCUAAAGGCCGGUAAGCGAAGGUUUUCAGUUGGUGGACUAUGGUCUCUCCUAACUCUUCCUCUUUUUCCAGAUUUGGCUUGUAAUAGACAACAAGUCCCGUUGGCGCUCCUAGCAAUGAAUAAUCCCACAUCGUCUAAAUACUUGAUUUUAGAGAUGUUUAUAAAGGGUUACGCUACUUCCGUCUUUGCUCUCAUUAUUACUUAUAAAAGAGAGAUCACCACUAUUGAAGAUCAGACUCUCAUAUCAAAGGAUGAGAAAUUUUUUCUUGAAAUAUUCUUUUUUCAGAUGGAAAGGACAUUAUCGAUUUAAAAUUUUUAAUAAUUAUGAAUCAACCAAUGGUUAUGAGGAGCUAAAAAUUUGAAUGAUUAAUUUUUCUAAAUUAUGUAAUGAAAAUUUUAAAUUCCAAAAAAAAAUCUUUUUCUGCUAAAUUAUUUGUUAAAAGUGUAACAAAUAGAUAAUCAAUGAUACAAAAGACAUUAUCGAUUUAAAAUUUUCGAUAAUUAUAGAUCAAUCAAUGGUUCCGAGGUGUCAAAAUAAUUGAAUGAUUAAUUUCUCUAAAUUAUUUAAUGAAAAUUUUAAAUUCCAUAAAAAAUAUCCUUUCUUGCUAAAUUAUUUGUAACAAGUGUAACAAAGGGAUAACCAAUGGUAAAAAAAAAAAAGUACAGAAUUGACGUUGCGACUUUCUGUUAAAUCAAGGAUACAAGAACUUUUGAUUCAGCUUGAUAAUAAUUGGAUAAGCUUGAAUUCAGGACUUCAUCCCCUCCACUGUAAUAAUUGUUUUGAUGUUCAGGAAAUGGGGAGAUAUCACUAACCUAAAAUGGAUAGUGAACUUUCGUAACUUUUGUAUGAAUGAAUGUCCCUUUGGACUAUGCGCAUAAUCCAUAGCAAAGAACAUGAGAUCCCAGGGAGGUAACUCGAUCCCUUGAACUUCCUUCUUGGGGUUAUUGCCGAGUUUCGUUUUCUUAUACCAAUAUCAGAGAUCAAUCCUUUCUCAACAAACCAAGCCUUAAAAGCAACGACAACAAAUACCACUUAAAAAAUUUCAACACGGAUGGAUAGCCAACUAAAAUUUCAACAUCAUUUCAUUGGUGCAACUACUACUAAAAAAUUGAAUGAUUAAUUUCUCUAAAUUAUUUAAUAAAAAAUUUAAAUUUCAUAAAAAAUACCCUUUUCUAUUAAAUUAUUUGUAAAAAGUGUAACGAAGGGAUAACCAAUGAUACAAAAGGCAUUAUUGAUUUAAAAUUUUCGAUAAUCAUGAAUCAAUCAAUGGUUGUGAGGUGUGGAAAAAAAUUGAAUGAUUAAUUUCUCUAAAUUAUCUAAUAAAAAUUUUAAACUCCAUAAAAAAAAUCCUUUUCUGCUAAAUUAUUUGUAAAAAGUGUAACAAAUGGAUAAUCAAUGAUACAAAAAGGCAUUAUCGAUUUAAAAUAUUUGAUAAUUAUGAAUCAAUCAAUGGUUGUGAGGUGCGAGAAAAAAAUUAAAUGAUAAAUUUCCCUAAAUUAUUUAAUGAAAAUUUUAAAUUCCAUAAAAGAUAUCCUCUUCUGUUAAAUUAUUUGUAAAAAGUGUAACAAAGGGAUAAUCAAUGAUACACAAAGGCAUUAUCGAUUUAAAAUAUUUGAUAAUUAUGAAUCAAUCAAUGGUUUUGAGGUGCGGAAAAAAGUUGAAUGAUUAAUUUCUUUAAAUUAUUUAAUGAAAAUUUUAAAUUCCAUAAAAAAUAUCCUUUUUUGCUAAAUUAUUUUUAAAACGUAUAGCAAAUGGAUAACCAAUGGUACAAAAAAAAAGUACAUAAUUGACGUUGCGACAUUCUAUUCAAUCAAGGAUACAAGAACUUUCGAUUCAGCUUGAUAAUAACGAGAUGAGCUUGAAUUCAGGACUUCAUCCCCUCCAUUUGGGGAGAUAUCACUAACCUAAAAUGGAUAGCGAACUUUCAUAACUUUCGUAUGAAUGAAUGUCCCUUUGAACUUUGCGCAUAAUCCAUAGCAAAGAACAUGAGAUCCCAGGGAGGUAACUCGAUCCUUUGAACCUCCUUUUUGGGGUUAUUGCUGAGUUCAGUUUUCUUAUAUCAAUAUCAGAGAUUGAUCCUCCCUCAACAACCAAGCUUUAAAAGAAAUGACAACAAAUACCACCUGGUGACCCCAACAAACUCAAUAGCUUCAAACAAUAACAAAUUAAGCUCUCAUUACCCUAUGCUGUAUAGAUAUUUAUCAUAUCGUCAUCCACCACAAGAGAAGAGUGAGUCAUCCACCACAAAAGAAGAGUGAGUCAUCCUAGGUUUGGUAACCAUAAGUUGGAAUUGUUAUACUAAUUAAUGCUUGCUUCAAUUAGACAAACUGGCUUUACUCUUGAGAUGCCCCAUAAUGUCACCCUCCCAUCGUGUUACGGUUUGAUUUUCACUCACCCAGAUCUCCUCAGCUACUUGGUUUAUAAGCCUAAAAUUACAGCUAACAAGUACCAAGCCACCGUGUUAUGGUCCUCGCAUGGACGUGAAUCCCACAUCGUUGAGAUAAUGCUCUCAGCGGGUAGAGCUACAAAGUCCCACAUCAAAAAGAAACUUCUAGUAGGGAGUAAAAGUGGAUGCCAUGGUCUUAGAAAAAGGAGUCAUGAAUCUCACAUUGGCUAUAUAGUAAAGUAAUACUGGAAAAAUAAAGGUUCACACCACCUUUAACCUAUGAGACACAUUUUGUGGGACAAAAUCGUGAUAUCAGUGGGCCAAAGAGGACAAUACCUCACAAGGGUUGGUGUGGACUGUAACAAUUGGUAUCAGAGCGAACUUUGAGUACUUGCAAUGUGCCACUGAGGACAGUGGACCCUUGUUGAAGUGGGGGAAGAUGUCACAGUCCUCGCAUGGAUGUGAAUCCCACAUCGUUGAGAUAAUGCUUGAUAAUUUUAUUUUAUAAAAUUAUUUUAAUCCAAUUUUGUUAUUAAAUAUUAGCUAAGUCCUCAAUUUUUAAUUAUAAUUUACUUAUUUUUAGUUAUUUUUAUAAUUAGUUUAUUUUUAAGUGAGUUAUUUUAAUUUUAUGCUCAUUUUUUUAAUUUUGCUAUUAUUUAUUAGUUUUAUAUUUUUCGUAGGAACUAAAGGAAUUGCGCUUAAUUUUGAAAAGUAAAGUGUUGAAAGACUUGGAAGUUUGCUUACAUAUACUUCAAUGUUUUAGCCAUAACUUAUAGUACAAAACUCCAAAUGAUGCUAUUCUUUAACCAUUGGAAAGAUAAGAGAUAGAGCUACAAUUUUCAUGAGAUCUCUUUGCCUAGUUCUGCAUUGAAGAUGGAGAAAAUCGAGUCAGAAAAUGGUUGGAUGUACUAUGACGGAAAUAGAAAUUUUUAAAGAUUGACAAUUGAUUUUUUGAGCCUCUCAUUACACUUUUAAACCAAAUUAAAUCAUAAGUCAACUUAGGAAACUAUAAGUUAAGUUUAUUAGUAUCAAUAGGAUAUUUUUAAGAAUAUUAGGAUAGACAACUUUUUGGAAACUCAAGAAACUAGAAGUUGAGGAUGAAACUUGGAGAGCAAGUGACAAAUAUUUGUUUUGCUUUCUUCCUUGGCUUUUAUUUUUUCUUGUUACUCUCAAUGGUUGAAAUUAUUAUAAUGUUCUUUGUCUUUGCAAUCAUGAGUAGCUAAUUUCUUUUAGGAUUGCAAUUGAACUCACAUGUAAUCCAAAUUUUUAAUCUCUUUCUUACUUAUCUUUAAUGGGAAUUGAAUUGUUUAUUCCAAUUUGUUCUUAAUACUUUUAAUUGCUUGGCCACCAAUUAAAUUGAUUUAAGAACUUAAACAAACUUGGGAAAGGGAGUUUAGUGUAAACUAAAAUUAGGAUAGUAUAUGAUCAUAUUAAUUUAUUUGCGUAUAAGAUAGGGAUAUAUCUAUAGGUCAUAUGUAGAUAGAUUAGAGCCUAAACUUGAUGAAUCUGUUUUAAUUUCAAUUCAUAUAGGGAUAGAGUGUUUUGGUUAAAAUAUAUGUUUUUAUAAAAUGAGUCAGGAGACCCUUAUAAAUAAAUUAGGCCUCUAAGUUAGCAAUUCAACCCAGUGAAAUAAGUUAAGGAAAAGAGGUAAGAUUUAGAUAAAGUGUAAGAGAUAUUGUAAUCCUAGACUUGUUUAAUUUAAUAUUUACUCAACUUAUUAUUAUUUUGAUUUUUUUUAGUUUAAAUUUUGAUUAAGUAUUUUUAGUUAUUUAAUUUAAUUAUUCAAUAUUGAUUGUUUAGAUAAGAUUAAAUUGUUAUAAUUUUAAUACUUAGUAAAAUUUUAUAUCAAUUCUCGACGGAAUCGAUAGUCUGCUUACUUAUAUAUUGCUUAUUCGAUAUGUAUACUUAUGUAGUAAAAUUUUAACUCACAAUGCUCCUAGCAAGUAGAGGUACAAAAUCUCACAUCGAAGAAAAACUCCUAGCGGGGAGUAAGGUGGAUGUCAUGGUCCUAGAUAGGGGAGUCAUGAAUCCAACAUUGGUUAUAUACUAAAGUGAUACUGGGAAUAUAAGGGUUCACACCAUCUUCAACUUGUGAGGUCCCUUUUGUGGGAUAAAACCGUGAGGUCAACGGGACAAAGUAGACAAUACCUCACAAGGGUUGGUGUGGACCGUGACACACCGCCCCACUCAUUCAAUGUCUCAGCCAAUAUCCGAGUGGUUAACAGGCUCAUCCAGCAGCAGUGAGUGGGGUUGUGUAAAUGCUAACCAUGCAAAGAAGACCCGAGUCCUUUUUCUAAAUUAUUUAAUGAAAAUUUUAAAUUUCGCAAAAAAUAUCUUUGGGUGUUAAAUUAUUUGUAAAAAGUAUAACAAAGAGAUAAUCAAGAAUACCAAAAGAAUAAAAAAUUAACGUUGCGGCUUUAUAUUUAAUCGAUUUUGUAAUAAAAAAUUAAAAAAAAAAACAAAAUUAUACAUGUGAAUGCAUAAAUCUCAAAUUCACUAAAUAAUUAUUUAUUUUACAUAUUCACGAAAUUCUGUGCUUCGGUAAUACAGUUUCCAGUGGAGAAAUCGUUGAAAUUAAAUUAAUUUGGAUUGUAGAUUAGGCAGUGAUGGCAAAGGGAGGUGGAUUUUGUUUCUUCAGCUAUACAUAUGAAUGUACAAAUCACAUGGUCCCUAAAUAAUUAUUUACUUUACAUGUUUAUAAAAGCCUACAUUACAUACUAACGCUGCCCUCCAAGUCGAGAAAAAGCAUUGCUUGGGACCAAGUGAGGCAUGAAUGGCUUAAACAUGUUGGAAAAUGAGACCCUAUACCCUGCAUGAUAUAUUAAUCAAUUACUACUAAUUUUAAUAUUAUUCUCUUUGUUUGUUAGUAUGUAUUAUCUUUUAUAUAUCCGGGAAAAACAAUUGAUAUCUUAUUUUAUGACUUCAAGUGGCUUGAGAAAUGCACAUUUUAUUGCAGCAAUGAAGAAGGGAAAUAUUGAAAUUUUUUCUUUUAUAUUUUUUUAUAUAUUUUUUUUGCUCUUUUACUAGUCUUUUGGUUGGGGGAUAUAAAAUUUUACCUAAAUAUGUUGUGAAAGAAUAAAAUAGAGUUAUGUGCGCACUCAAUGAGUUCCAAACAUCUCUAUGUCCAAUUCUUAAUAGGCUUAGACAACUUACAUAAGCACACAGUAAUUGACAGACUUAUUUCAGAACAGAAGUAGAGAUAGAUUCCUCCCCAUGGUGAACAGAAGUAGUAAUACUAGCAAGCACUAGGUGCUAGAUUUUUGUGGAAAUUGAUCUUCUGAAGCCAUUGGCAGCUCCUCAUAUAUCACUGAUUCUUGAAAUCUCUGUGGGAGGAAACAUCGACCACCAAAUCGCUGUUGCAUGUAUAUGGUUGCAGCGAAAAACAGGCCCAACACAGGAAUAAUGAAGUCCCAAGCAGUUGAGUAGUAAUCUGCAACAGGAUCUGCAUAGAUGUAUGUGUCAUCAAUUCCAAGAAAAUUGUGAGCCCUGUAAAGAUCAUAUCCGUGAGGUACCAGGCGAACAAGGGUAAUUCCAAUGUAAAAGAAACGAGACAGAGCCUCUUCUCUUGAGUUCUGGAACAUGUUGAACAGGAUUUGGGGGAAAAGAAAGGCAUCAAGGAUCAAACCAGCAUAAGCUCUUAUACCACUCAAAAGGACCUGCUCGUGAUCGUAGUAUGAAGAAUGCCAUUCGGUGCCAACAAGAUUCUUCCUCCACUUAAGAACGAAGGCAAUGAGGCCCCCAGCUAUGUAUACUGGAAAACAAACAUAAAGCCCCCUCUUCUCCGCAAUCCACAAGGGCUUUUUCUUUUCAUCAGAGCAUCUGGCUGUCCAUGAGAGCAUCAGAAGACGGAUCUGCAGCAGAAAAGCCACCAUUGUGACAACCCUAAUGAUCACCUCGUUCAUUUCUAGCCACACUCCACUUCUAAUCCAGACAGAUCUUUCACUAUCUUGAAUGAACAUUGCUUCAAGAUUUAGAACCAGAGGGAGUAAGUGUCCCAGGGCUAGAAUAACAAGCAUGAGAAGUGAAAUGAAAGGACAAACGCCAGGGUUCUUUCUCACAUGAAAGAUUUGAAGUACUACAAAGACGAUUGCAAGAGUGUUGGACAUGACAGACAUGAUCAUCUCGAAAUCCAUUCUCCAAAUUGAUUCCAAUGCCAAACUGCGAUAAUAAGCUCUUCCGGAAAAGCCCAAAGGUCCAAAAUUAAGACGGUCAGUUGUUUCGCGCAUGCUCUUAAUGCUUCCCCUGAUAAUACCUCCUUUCCUGUCUGAGUUCAAUGGAGGAAACUGAACAUUCACAACGACCUCGCAGUCCACUGAAUGACUUAAAGAUCCUGUGUUGGCUGAACUCAGAUCUCUGCAGCCAACCAUGCACAGAUUACCUGUUUCAGAAUUAUAAACCCCUUCAGCAGAAAUUUUGAUUUCCACGUAUCCAUUUGAAGAUUGGUUAGAUGGAUUAAGGCCAGCAUCCAAAUUCAAACUACGUAGCGUGAUGCUUAUUUUGUAGCUGAUAUUAAGCAAGCGGCCACUGGUAUCUGACUCAUUGCCAUAAUUUAUAGGCCUUGAGCUUGAGGAUGGUGUUAGAAAGGGAAAUCUCUGGUAAGGCUGAUCGCCCACAGCUAGAGGUUUCGAAGAACCCCAUCCAAUUAUUUCUUUAGAGCCUUUGACGAUUGAGAAAUGAAAAGCCAUGUCCCCAGAAUAGCCAUCUGGGUACUGUCCCCUGCUGUUCCUUUUAGGUUUCUUCUGCGGACAUGACCUCUUCACUUUGUCAGUUUCCAUGUACUCAUACUUCAAACCUUGAAGUUGAAUUUGCCCACUGCUGCUACGGUCAGUAUUUCGGAACAGAAUCCUAUCAAAGAAACCAGAUUCAUUCCUAGGUUUCUCACUCCAUAUUUCUCCAACAACAGUACUUGUGUUUCUGAUAGACAAGAUUGCCGGGAAUCUCAAGCUCAACCUUGUUGUGCAGUCUCCAACAUGAGACUUCUCCAAGGAGCUUGAUGCAUCAAAGAUUCGGCAAGCAGCAAUAC